UUUUAAGUCUCAUAUGCAUGUAACCUUCAGUUUUCUAAAUUUUUAAGUCUCGUAUGCAUGUAACCUUCUGUGUGCGUUUCGUUUCUCCGCUAUGCGUUUCUUCACCAAACCAUCUGUUCGUUUCUCCACUCUGCGUUUCUUCACCAAACAAAAGAUAUUAAGUACAUCCGAAACGAUUACAUUUAUUUAUCUCUAUAAAAUCCUUCUCAUCCUUCACUUCAAUGCAAACUCACUUUAAAAAACUAGCCGUUAGUUAACCUCGUUGGAUUCACCUUCUCCUCUUCACAUCAACCAGGAUGAUAAUACGAACGUUGUUGUUAAUUCGUCUCCUCUGUUUAGUCCAUCUUCUGAUAAACGAUUCGUCUCCUCUCGAUGAUAAUCGCCAACCCAAUUUUUCAGAUUCCAAUCUUCCAUCCGUUUGAAUGAAUGAACAAGGAAAACGGUUGAAGGAAAAUUUGUUUUCUUCACCAAACCCUCUAUGUGCGUUCCUUCACCAAACCCUCUAUGUGCGUUCCUUCACCAAACCAUCACUGUGCGUUCCUUCGUAUCUCAUCUCCCACGCAACCCUUCUCUGUGCGACGACGUCUCCAACACGACUUCGCCAUCUCAUCGGUGCCAUCGCAUCUCAACUUCUCUUCCAUCCGCGCACCACUUCUGUUUUUCUUGCCAUUCUCGUUUCUGUUUCAUUUUUUGUUUAUUUUCUUCUACAAAUUGUAAGGGUUUCAUUUUCUGUUUCAUUGUUAGGGUUUCAUUUGCAAAUGUUUAGGGUUCUGUUUCAACAUUUGGAUCUUGGAUUUUAGGUUUCUGUUCUUGCUAGUGUGAUCUUUUGCAUUUAGAUCUUAAUUUUCCUUUAAUCAUCGUUUGCAGGGUUCUGUUCUUGUUCCUUUAACCUUCAUUUGCAUUUAGAUCUUAGGGUUCCUUUUACCUUCAUUUGCAGGAUUUUAGGGUUCUGUUCUUGCUAGUGUUCUUGAUCUUAAUUUUCCUUUAACCUUCAUUUGAAUUUAGAUCUUAAUUUUUCUUUUCCUUCAAAACAAGAAAAGCAAAACAAGAGCAGCAGGGAAAGAUCAAUGAGAUGAGAAGGUUAAUAGGGCCACUGUCUGGUAAGUCAUCAGUUUAUUGUUCUGACCGCAUCCAUCUCAAGGUAUUUAAGGGCACGAAAUUGGAAUGUCAAGAAGGCGGCAGCUAAAAUGAAGCAGACCCUAAAAUGGAGAGAAGAAUAUAAACCAGAAGAGAUCCGCUGGGCUUCUACUAUUGAAUCAAGUUUCAGAACUUGUUAAAACUAAGCUUCUAGCUCCCAAAAUAUUGAUUUCCCUGCCAAAUUAUUGAAGGGAAUCCUUGAAGCUCAUCUUUCCUCCUGUCCUGAAAGAGAAAAAGGAGCCUUAAAAAGACUAGUUGAACCUCUGAUGAGUCUUGUAAAGUCUUACGAGGGUGGAAGAGAGAGUCAUGCCCAUAAAAUUAUUCAAUCUCUUUUUGAAGAAUAUCUUUCAGCCGAAGAAUUAUUUAGUGACAAUAUACAGCAAGGAGCAGGAAAGCCUAAAGGACCACUUGAAAGUAGUUCAAACUUAGAUCGAAAUGGAAACAAGGGUUGCAUGUAAUCUGAUUUUAAGGAAUGUGAUUAGCUGGUCCAUUAGAUGCCAACAAAACACUAUGUUUAGAGUAAAAGAUUUUAAGGAAACAUGUAAUCUGAAUAUGGAAUGUGAUUAGCUGGUCCAUUACAUAAUAGGAAACAUUAUGUUUACAGUAAAAGAUUUUAAGGAAACACAUAAUCUGUCAUUAGUAGCUACGAGUUUGAGCUAUAAAUUGCAUUUUCACAAUGUUCUUUGAAA